rnacentral:rRNA from 1 species
GCCCAGACUCCUACGGGAGGCAGCAGUGAGGAAUAUUGGUCAAUGGUCGGGAGACUGAACCAGCCAAGCCGCGUGAGGGAGGAAGGUACAGAGUAUCGUAAACCUCUUUUGUCAGGGGACAAAGACUGGGACGCGUCCCCGGAUGAGUGUACCUGAAGAAAAAGCAUCGGCUAACUCCGUGCCAGCAGCCGCGGUAAUACGGAGGAUGCGAGCGUUAUCCGGAUUUAUUGGGUUUAAAGGGUGCGCAGGCGGAGAAUCAAUGCGGCGGUAAAAUUGGGGGGCUCAACCUCUUCGAGCCGUUGAAACUGGUUUUCUUGAGUGAGCGAGAAGUAUGCGGAAUGCGUGGUGUAGCGGUGAAAUGCAUAGAUAUCACGCAGAACUCCGAUUGCGAGGGCAGCAUACCGGCGCUCAACUGACGCUCAUGCACGAAAGUGUGGGUAUCGAACAGGAUUAGAUACCCCCGUAAG